GCCAGACUCCUACGGGAGGCAGCAGUGAGGAAUAUUGGUCAAUGGGCGAGAGCCUGAACCAGCCAAGUCGCGUGAGGGAAGACGGUCCUAUGGAUUGUAAACCUCUUUUGUCGGGGAGCAAAAGACGCCACGCGUGGCGUUCCGAGAGUACCCGAAGAAAAAGCAUCGGCUAACUCCGUGCCAGCAGCCGCGGUAAUACGGAGGAUGCGAGCGUUAUCCGGAUUUAUUGGGUUUAAAGGGUGCGUAGGCGGGCUUUUAAGUCAGCGGUAAAAAUUCGGGGCUCAACCCCGUCCGGCCGUUGAAACUGGGGGCCUUGAGUGGGCGAGAAGAAGGCGGAAUGCGUGGUGUAGCGGUGAAAUGCAUAGAUAUCACGCAGAACUCCGAUUGCGAAGGCAGCAUACCGGCGCCCGACUGACGCUGAGGCACGAAAGCGUGGGUAUCGAACAGGAUUAGAUACCCGCGUA
rnacentral:rRNA from 1 species